UGCGUGCCCCUCUCGGCUGCCGCCAUCUUGGUGCCUUCACCGGCCGCCGCCUCCAUCCGCCGCCAUCCGCCUCCAUCCGCCGUCCCCCGCCCGCCGGGACUGAGCGGGGCCCCGCCGAACCGCCAUGAGGGCCAAGUGGCGCAAGAAGCGAAUGCGCAGGCUGAAGCGCAAGAGGAGGAAGAUGAGGCAGAGGUCCAAGUAACCGCCCCCAGCGGGGACACGGCCCGGUGACGCCCCCGGUGCUGUCCCGGUGACGCCCCCGGUGCUGUCCCGGUGCCGCGGGGCGGUCCCGUUCUUUGCUUUGCGGCGGCCGCCGUGCCGUGAAUAAAAGUUGGUUGUUGCUAA